rnacentral:rRNA from 1 species
GUYUUUUUGUUAAAAAUUUAAAGUCGGGCCUGCCCACUGAAACUUUAAAUGGCCGUGGUAUUUUGACCGUGCUAAGGUAGCAUAAUCAUUAGUUUUUUAAUUGAAAGCUGGAAUGAAAGGUUUGAUAAAAAAAUGACUGUCUCUAUUUAAUUUUAUUAGAAAUUUAUCUUUAAGUUCAAAAGCUUAAUUUUUAUUAAAAGACGAGAAGACCCUAUAGAGUUUAAUAAUUUAAGGUAAUUUAUGUUUUAGAAUUAAUUCAUUUAUUUUUUAAUAUUAUUUAAUUGGGGUGAUUGAAAAAUUUAAUUAACUUUUUUUAUAUUUAACCAUUAAUUUAUGAUAAUUUGAUCCAAUUUUUUUGAUUAUAAGAUAAAAUUACCUUAGGGAUAACAGCGUAAUUUUUUUAGAAAGUUCAAAUUAAAAGAAAAGAUUGCGACCUCGAUGUUGGAUUAAAAUUAAAUUUUGGUGUAGAAGCUAAAAAUUUUAAGUCUGUUCGACUUUUAAAAUUUUACA